GGAUAUUCUGUGGGAAAAACAACUCAAUCAAUCAAUAAUUUAAUAUACAAUCAUAUUGGCUUUUGCUCUCCGGAUUAAUUUUCUUUAGUGUGACAACCCACUGUUUCACAUGCCAACGGAAAAAUUAAACAUUUAAUAUAGACACUAAUUAAGAUUGUUUUUUGGCUUUCGAGUGGUCACUUUUUACCGAAAAGCACCAAAGAUACCGGUCCGAUUGAAUGCCACUUUGAUGGAAGUUUUGAAAAAGCAUUGGACACAUGGCGAAAAAUUUAUGAGUGAAGCGACUCCGAUUUCGUCAAAAGUUUGGAAAAUUGGUCGAAAGGAAUGCUCCAUGACCAGCCGAUUUAUUGGAACCAUUAUAAGACACUUCAAGCAGCUGUAACUGUCUAACUCAGAUGAACCGGUGUGCUGGAGUAGUUUCUUGAAUAUAUGACAAAACAAACAUGGUUUUUCUUAAAAAACAAUGCUUGCAAGGACUUGUAACAUGUACAUAUUAUAUAUGAUAUUUUUCUUGGUUAA